rnacentral:rRNA from 1 species
UACAGAGGUCUCAACCGUUAUUCGGAUUCAUUGGGCGUAAAGGGUGCGUAGGCGGUCGUGCAAGUCGGAUGUGAAAUCUCAGGGCUCAACCCUGAAACUGCAUUCGAUACUGCGUGGCUAGAGUGCUGGAGAGGAGACUGGAAUUUACGGUGUAGCAGUGAAAUGCGUAGAUAUCGUAAGGAAGACCAGUGGCGAAGGCGAGUCUCUGGACAGCAACUGACGCUGAGGCACGAAGGCCAGGGGAGCAAACGGG